GAUGAACGCUAGCGGGAGGCUUAACACAUGCAAGUCGAGGGGCAGCAUAGGGUAGCAAUACUCUGAUGGCGACCGGCAAACGGGUGAGUAACGCGUAUGCAACCUACCCUGUACAGGGGGAUAACCCGGAGAAAUUCGGACUAAUAUCCCGUAAUAAUAUCCGGAGGCAUCUUUGGAUAUUUAAAGUUCCGACGGUACGGGAUGGGCAUGCGUAACAUUAGCUGGUUGGUAAGGUAACGGCUUACCAAGGCUAUGAUGUUUAGGGGUCCUGAGAGGGUGGUCCCCCAACUGGUACUGAGACACGGACCAGACUCCUACGGGAGGCAGCAGUGAGGAAUAUUGGUCAAUGGGCGCAAGCCCUGACCGAGCAAACGCCGCGUGAGUGAUGAAGGUUUUCGGAUUGUAAAGCUCUGUCUUCCGGGACGAUAAAUGACGGUACCGGAGGAGGAAGCCAGGCUAAACUACGUGCCAGCAAGCCGCGGUAAAGAGUGGUGUA
rnacentral:rRNA from 1 species